rnacentral:tRNA from 1 species
GGUAAUCGCCGGGAUAGCUCAGGUGGUAGAGC